UACGUAGGUGGCAAGCGUUGUCCGGAUUUACUGGGCGUAAAGAGCGCGCAGGCGGUCAGAUAAGUCGAAUGUGAAAGCCCCCGGCUCAACUGGGGAGGGUCACGCGAUACUGAUCGACUCGAAGGCAGGAGAGGGUAGUGGAAUUCCCGGUGUAGUGGUGAAAUGCGUAGAUAUCGGGAGGAACACCAGUGGCGAAGGCGACUACCUGGCCUGUUUCUUGACGCUGAGGCGCGAAAGCUAGGGGAGCAAACGGG
rnacentral:rRNA from 1 species